rnacentral:rRNA from 1 species
UCGAGGAGUUUGAAUAUGGCUCAGAUUGAACGCUGGCGGCAUGCCUAACACAUGCAAGUCGAACGGCAGCACAGCAGUAGCAAUACUGUGGGUGGCGAGUGGCGGACCCGGGCUUCUUGAUAGUAAAUGGCAUACGGGAUCUACCCAAACGUGGGGGAUAACGUCAGUGGAAACUUACGCUAAUACCGCAUACGUCCCAUGGGAGAAAGCGGGGGAUCGCAAGACCUCGCGCGGUUGGACGAACCGAUGUGCGAUUAGCUAGUUGGUAGGGUAAUGGCCUACCAAGGCGACGAUCGCUAGCUGGUCUGAGAGGAUGAUCAGCCACACUGGAACUGAGACACGGUCCAGACUCCUACGGGAGGCAGCAGUGGGGAAUAUUGGACAAUGGGCGCAAGCCUGAUCCAGCAAUGCCGCGUGUGUGAAGAAGGCCUUCGGGUUGUAAAGCACUUUUAUCAGGAGCGAAAUGCCAUUGGUUAAUACCCGGUGGAGCUGACGGUACCUGAGGAAUAAGCACCGGCUAACUUCGUGCCAGCAGCCGCGGUAAUACGAAGGGUGCAAGCGUUAAUCGGAAUUACUGGGCGUAAAGCGUGCGUAGGCGGUGAUUUAAGUCUGCUGUGAAAUCCCCGGGCUCAACCUGGGAAUGGCAGUGGAUACUGGAUCGCUAGAGUGUGAUAGAGGAUGGUGGAAUUCCCGGUGUAGCGGUGAAAUGCGUAGAGAUCGGGAGGAACAUCAGUGGCGAAGGCGGCCAUCUGGAUCAACACUGACGCUGAGGCACGAAAGCGUGGGGAGCAAACAGGAUUAGAUACCCUGGUAGUCCACGCCCUAAACGAUACGAACUGGAUGUUGGUUCUCAACUCGGAGAUCAGUGUCGAAGCUAACGCGUUAAGUUCGCCGCCUGGGGAAAACCCCCGUCGCAAGACUGAAACUCAAUGAAAUUGACCGGA